rnacentral:rRNA from 1 species
AGCUCCAAUAGCGUAUAUUAAAAUUGUUGCCGUUAAAAAGCUCGUAGUCGAACUUCGGGCUCUGUCAGCCGGUCCGCCUUCUUGGUGUGUACUUGUUUGACGGAGCCUUACCUCCUGGUGAACGGCGAUGUCCUUUACUGGGUGUCGUCGCAAACCAGGACUUUUACUUUGAAAAAAUUAGAGUGUUCAAAGCAGGCCUUUGCCCGAAUACAUUAGCAUGGAAUAAUAAAAUAGGACGCGCGUUCCCAUUUUGUUGGUUUCUGAGAUCGCCGUAAUGAUUAAUAGGGAUAGUUGGGGGCAUUUGUAUUCCGUCGUCAGAGGUGAAAUUCUUGGAUUGCCGGAAGACAAACUACUGCGAAAGCAUUUGCCAAGGAUGUUUUCAUUG